UCCAGACUCCUACGGGAGGCAGCAGUGGGGGAUAUUGCACAAUGGGGGGAACCCUGAUGCAGCGACGCCGCGUGGGUGAAGAAGCGCCUCGGCGCGUAAAGCCCUGUCAGCAGGGAAGAAAAUGACGGUACCUGAAGAAGAAGCCCCGGCUAACUACGUGCCAGCAGCCGCGGUAAUACGUAGGGGGCGAGCGUUAUCCGGAUUCACUGGGCGUAAAGGGAGCGCAGGCGGCACGGCAAGUCCGGUGUGAAAGCCCGGGGCCCAACCCCGGGACUGCACUGGAAACUGGCGGGCUGGAGUGUCGGAGGGGCAGGCGGAAUUCCUAGUGUAGCGGUGAAAUGCGUAGAUAUCAGGAGGAACACCGGUGGCGAAGGCGGCCUGCUGGACUGCAACUGACGUUGAGGCCCGAAAGCGUGGGGAGCAAACAGGAUUAGAUACCCGUGUAAC
rnacentral:rRNA from 1 species